GAUCCUUUUGUAGUUCAUGAGCAUGAUGAUUGGGUGUUCACGCUGCUGCGUGA
rnacentral:snRNA from 1 species